ensembl:lincRNA Gm13026 predicted gene 13026
CAGCUCCUGGGGGUGUCCGGCCUUCCUUAGUGGGGUCUUCUUACAUCUGCAGCACAGUUAGCACCCUUGCCAGCCUCCAGCCAGCCCAUAGCAAACACUGCAGGGCUAAUGCUGGCUGGUGCCCACACUGGAAAGAAAAGGGUAAUACAAUCACCGCCAGCCACACCCCGAGGAGUAACUCCAUCAGCCAGACAGCUCCGAGGGUUCCUCAAGACAGGCUCAGUGCUCAGCAUCCUGUGUGCAGCAGCGUAUUCCAGGAUGGGAUGUCAUCCGGGACUAAAUUAAGAAGAGAAAAAGUGAGCUGAGCAGUAGCACCCUUCCUCUGCUUCCUGGCUGCAGCCACCAUGCUUUUGCCUCCACACCUUCCCGCCACAAGAGACUGUGCGCCCUCCAACCGUGAGCCACAAGCCUCCCUUCUUUAAGCUGUCACAGCAAUGACAAUAACAAAUACAUGGAGGUAUAAGGCACCGAGUAGGGCUGGCUACAAAAGCAAGCCCUGACUCCGGUGACACCGAGGCAGCAAUGAGGUGACAUGGGGGCAGGAACCCUGGGUCAAAGCAGCUAGGAGCCUCUGGCUUCUCAAUGGCAUGGCAGAGACAGGAGAGGAU